GGCUUUGCUCAAUGGCAGUAUCAUAGCUGAUGAGGUUUAUCCAAGGCGUGAUUAUUGCUGAUUGAAAACUUUUCCCAGUGCCCCACUAGGACGACUUGAAAUAUAGUUGGCAUGAGUAAUUUUUGACAGUCUAUACAGAGA
ensembl:snRNA U4 U4 spliceosomal RNA